rnacentral:rRNA from 1 species
CAGCAGCCGCGGUAAUACGAAGGGUGCAAGCGUUAAUCGGAAUUACUGGGCGUAAAGCGUGCGUAGGCGGUGAGUUAAGUCUGCUGUGAAAUCCCCGGGCUCAACCUGGGAAUGGCAGUGGAUACUGGCUCGCUAGAGUGUGUCAGAGGAUGGUGGAAUUCCCGGUGUAGCGGUGAAAUGCGUAGAGAUCGGGAGGGACAUCAGUGGCGAAGGCGGCCAUCUGGGACAACACUGACGCUGAGGCACGAAAGCGUGGGGAGCAAACAGGAUUAGAUACCCCCGUAGUCCCUGUCUCUUAUAC